rnacentral:lncRNA from 10 species
GCCCGCCUCGCCGGGCUGCACCGAGUCCGCGGGUCUCUAGCGCACGGCCUGGCCCCACGUGCGGCGAGGAGGGCGCAGUGAAGUUCUGCUGUGUGCACCCCCUGCAGCUCGGCCGGGAAGCGCCCGCUGGAGGAACGGAGAGCGCCGCUUCAGCGUCGGCCACGUGGGCCGGGCUCUGCCGGUGGCAACCUGGACGCGCUGCGGGCGCCGGCGAGACCUGCGCCAACGCCUACCUCCGGGCCACAGGCGGGAUAAAGCUGCCCCACUUUGCCCCCAGCGAAGAGAACCCUCCUUCCUCUAAGAAGGUGAAAUAAGACAGAAGAAAAGGGUUAGAACUUUAGAACUCCAGGACCCAACCUCAGUCCUUUCAAGCACCGUCUGCAAACAGAUGCUGUGCUAGACUCAGCACCCUGUCUGGUGAAACUGCUCCUUGGGGUGACAUCGGUCGAAUGUGUGAGAGGCUUCAGCGGAUGCCCUGACUUUUACACCAUGGAAGGGCUUUCUCCUCACUCUCCAUUCUUCAUCCCACUCCAUCCAUGCGCUUUCUCCCCUCCCCAUGGGGUGGGGUGGGGGAGUCUUUCCUCCAGCUGAGAGCAGAGGCCUUGGCCAACUAGAUGUGUCUUCUGGGAUUUCACAGUCGGGCCACCUCUCACCUCUUGCACAGGCUGGUGGGUUAAAUGAAACUCCUGUAGCAACUCACAGAGCAUUUGAUUUAAAGCUAAGAUUUAUAGGAACUCACAAGUCAGAAUGGAACAAUAAUUUCCCUCCGGUUGCACUGCCACUACUGAGGAGCAAUCGCCUAAUUCCACACAGAGUUUGCUGAUUCUGUGGGCCUAACAGAGAACUCCAGAUGGGCAACUAGGAGCUAAGAAGUGCAUCCUAUGUCACCAGGAGCUAAUUUUCCCUGGAUUUUCAAAGAGGCCUCAUAUUUGACCCAUGUCAUGGCAGGGUGAAAUAUAAGUCCUUCCUGAACCCUUGGAAGCUGAACGUUGUGGACAUCAGCCAUGGGAAAUACAUUUCCUUUAAACUGAUCACCAGGCCUUAGUAUGAUCCAUGCCUUGAGUGGACAGAGACCUUUCAUGUUUGGUCAUUACUCAGCCAGACACUUCUCUGAGAGGUGAUGACUUCCCUAGGAAGGAAUAACAAAGCCCCUUUCAGGCUGUUGAUGGGCCCUGUCCACUUUAAUUUUGCAUUCAGCCUCGCUCAUUUCUGUGAGCUGAGAUUUUGAUUAUUCUGAUUUCCACGACUCCUUUUGUGAAACAGAGACACUGAGGUGAAUGCACGGGCCCAGUCCCCUCCUUUUUGAGUGUGCCCUCGGAAGCAGAGGCAGGUGGUGUUGCCGAAACACCCAGGUUCUGUCUAGGUCCUGCCGCUCCCUGCACAGAAAGCCAAUCACAGAGAUGACAAGUAUUGCCAAGGAAGAAGGCUUUAAUCAGGUGCUGUAGCUGAGAAGAUGGGAGCCCAGUCUCAAAUCCAUCUCCCCAUCCACCUAAAACUAGGGGUUUAUACACCAGGGAAGAAAGAUAACAGUGUGUAAGAAAACAGGAACUACGGAGGGGCAAGGAAGCAGUCACAAUGUAGGGUAUCUCAUUGUCUGGAUGUGUUGAUCUGGUGAGUUUCCCUUCUUUGAUGAUACUUUUUUUUUGAGAGGCGGUGGCUCAUGCCUGUAAUCCCAGCACUUUGGGAGGCUGAGGCGGGUGGAUCAUUUGAGGUCAGGAGUUCGAGACCAGCCUGGCCAACAUGGUGAAACCCCGUCUCUACUAAAAAUACAAAAAAAAUGAGCCAGGUGUGGUGGCGGGCACCUGUAGUCCCAGCAAUUCGGGAGGCUGAGGCACGAGAAUUGCUUGAACCCAGGAGGCAGAGGCUGCAGUGAGCCGAGAUUGCACCACUGCACUUCAGCCUGGCGACAGAGGGAGACCCUGACUCCAAAAAAAAAAAAAAAGGUAAGGUUCAGCCAGGUGUGUUGGCUGACGCCUGUAAUCCCAGCACUUUGGGAGGCCAGGUGGGUGGAUCACGAGGAUCACAAGGUCAAGAGAUGGAGAACAUCCUGGCAAACAUGGUGAAACCCCAUCUCUACUAAAAAUACAAAAAAUUAGCCGGGUGUGGUGGCAGGCACCUAUAGUCCCAGCUACUCGGGAGGCUGAGGCAGGAGAAUAUCACUUGAACCCGGGAGGUGGAGGUUGGAGUGAGCCAAGAGUGUGCCACUGCACUCCAGCCUGGAGACACAGUGAGACUCCAUCUCAAAAAAAAAAAAAAAAAAAAAAAAAAGGAAGGUUCAAACUUUAGAACCAGAAGGGUCAAUUUCUACGUUUAUCCAAAAAACUAUUUAUGGGACUAUUGGGUCAAUUUCAGUGGGAGGCCCCAGGGCCAUGCCCCAGAGGAAGAGACUGGCGUUUAGGGAAUGAAAGCACAGGGAAGUGAGGAACGUGGAGUAUUGCAGAGCCAAGCUGAGGGGCUAUGGCAAGAGAGGCGAAGAAGAAAGACAAAGCAGCAAGCCAGCAGGCAGAGGGAGGCACAGUGAGGCAAAAGCUGGUUCUGGAGCCACCAUGUAAGCAAAUUCAGCUCCUUUUACACCUGGCUCAGGCCACUUCAUGGAGCUAAGGUGGGGCCGGGUGCCCCAUCUUCAUCAUCCUGUACUCCUAGAUUCAUUGCAAAUAGUUUGUUCUGAGUUUUAGGGCCUUCUGGGAUGAAUGAGGGGGGUGGUACCCCAUUCUUUGCCCACCAUAAGCAGCAGAGAAGGCCUCCUCAAAAACCCUGGGGGCUUAGGUAAAACCCCUCUCCUGUACAGAGCACACUGUGAGUGUUCAAUAACCAGUCAUGGUUAGAUUAUCCAAAAGAUUAUCCAAAAGCCCAUGCAGGAGGAGAGGGUAUGAAAAGGGCAUGGGAAAUAUUACAGAGAAGUGAGGGGGCACAUUUAAAGAAAAAAGAAAAGGAGACAAGAAUGGGGCUUAGGUAGGUCUGACACUUGGUGGGGGCCAUUAGCCAGAGGACCCAGUGCUGGAGAGCUAUCCCUGGUUUGUGAGGAGUUACUGGUUAGAUAACCUCCCUAGAUUGGACUAUCCAGAAGGAUCAGCAUGGUACACGUAUGUUUUUUGUAAGAUAUUGUAAGACAUCAUUUGUUAGAUGUCAGAUCAAAAAGUAGUUUGUACCAAGUCAGGGCUCCCAACCUUCUCAAGUGUGAUGGCCAUCUUAUUUCUUGCCUGUUAACUCUUUUUAAUAGUGAAAUAUGACAAACAGAGGAAAGUGCAUUAAAACCUGAGUGUUGACUGCUGGUUCCCCCAAGAUGGAGAGUCCCAUUCCUCCCAGACACUCCCUCUUACAGGUAAAAUAUCUGGACAUAACACAACAGACAGCAGAAGAAGACUCUGAAAGCUGGAGGAAGGAAGAAAAAAAGCCUAGGGACCUCAGACCUUGAAGAAUGACAGUGGAUUUCUCAUCUUGAAACCAUGGAGGCCAAAAGGAAGAGGCACAACAUUUUUCAAGUUGAAGAUAGAACUUAGAAUCACAAAUCCAAUAGCCACUGAAAACGCCCUUCAGGAAUGAAGGAGAAAUCAGACAUUCUCAGAUGAAAGAAAACUUAAGAGAACUUAUUGCCAACCUAGAAGAAAUGUGCUAAUGUCAAGAAAGCUACAAACUACCAAACUCAACGAGGAUGAUAGAGACAACCUGAAUAGUUCCAUAGCUGCUACAGAAAUUAAAGUUAUAAGCAAACGGCUCACAAAAAAGAAAUCUUCAGAUGAAAAUACUUUAAGGAGUAUUAAUACCAAUUUUACACACUCUAUCUCAGAAAGUAAAAGAAAGAACGUUUCCUGGCUCAUUGUAUAAGGCUAGUAUUACCCUGAUACCAAAAUCAGGAAAAUGCAGUACAGAAAAGAAAGUUAUAGACCACUAUCUCUAUAAAUUUAGACACAAAAUUUAUCAACAAAAUUUUGUAAACCUAAUACAGCAUCGUAUAUAAAAAAUUAUAUACACCAUGAUGAAGUGGGAUUUAUUCCAUAUAUGCAAGUUUGGUUCAAUAUUCCAGAAUCAGUCAAUGUAAUUUACUCUGUUAACCAGGUAAAGAAUAAAAAUGAUUAUAUCAUUUGAUGCAGAAAAAAAGAUUAACACAAUCCUAUGCCCAUUCACGGUAAAAAGUCUCAGCAGACUAGGAAUGGCGGGGAGUGGUGGGGACAAUCCUAAGUUGAGAAAGAGCAUCUAUUUAAAAACCUAGGCUGGGCACAGUAGCUCAUGCCUGUAGUCCCAACACUUUGAGAGGCUGAGAUGGGCGGAUUGCUUGAGCCCAGAAGUUCAAAACUAGCCUGGGCAACAUGGCAAAACCCCGUCUCUUCAAAAAAUACAAAAAUCAGGCUGGGCAAGGUGGCUCACACUUGUAAUCCCAACACUUUGGGAGGUGGAGGUGGGCAGAUCACUUGAGGUCAGGAGUUUCAGACCAGCCUGGCCAACAUGGUGAGACCUCGUCUCUAACAAACAAUACAAAAAUUAGCUGGGCAUGGUGGUG